UACGUAGGGUGCGAGCGUUGUCCGGAAUUAUUGGGCGUAAAGAGCUCGUAGGCGGUUUGUCGCGUCGACUGUGAAAACCUGGGGCUUAACUCUGGGCCUGCAGUCGAUACGGGCAGACUUGAGUUCGGUAGGGGAGACUGGAAUUCCUGGUGUAGCGGUGAAAUGCGCAGAUAUCAGGAGGAACACCAAUGGCGAAGGCAGCUCGCUGGGACGGUACUGACGCUGAGACGCGAAAGCGUGGGGAGCAAACAGG
rnacentral:rRNA from 1 species